GUGAAACCCUAGCCACCACUCCCCGUCGGGCUUCUCUCCUCCGCUCCCCAUUGCGCCCCUCUCCUCCAAUCCCCGCAGCCGACGACGAGGUCUCGCCCUUCGCCGAGCUUGCCACCACCGCUGCUCUCCCCUCGCCAUCACCGGGAGGAGCGUGCAGGCCGCCGCUCGCGUCGUUUCUCCGCAGCCGCCACCGCCCCUUCCCUUCCAAGCCCGUGGAGAUGACGGCGCCGGCGCUGGCGCUCGCGGUGGUCGGGUACUGGGCUGCCCGACAGCCGCGGGGCCAGGACGCUCUAUGUCGCAAGGGACCUCAAGCUGUCGACGGCGGGGACUGAGUCGCCGCCGCCGCAUCAUCUUCUCCUCCUCCCCAACACCGCAUGAGUGCGGGUCGCCGUCGCGCCAGAUGAGGUGGGGCUGCAACCACGCCCCCUUCACCUCUUCUACCCAGCCGUGCCACUCGGGACGACAAGAUCCAGCCGCGGCGGCCGAGAUCCAGUUGGCUGCCAUCGAUAUGAGGAGCGCUCGCGCCGCUGCUCCGCCGUUCAUCGUCCACUUGGCCGCAACCAUCCACAAGAAGAGGUGAUGUCACGGCAGCAGGGUCCUCACCUGUCUCCGCUCCCUCGUCUCCCCCUUCUGCUGGCAAGGGUGCUGAGCAGCAACAGUUCCAUCUCCCUCCCCAACGCAUCAUUGCCUCAUCUUGAGCUGCAAUGAACCAGAGCCCAGAGAAAGAGAUUUGAUGUGAUGAUUGAGGUAGAAGGCAUGGAUUGUUUGGGGCUUCUCUGAAAUAAGCUUCUCUAAUGCAGGAAAACAACAUGAAUGAGCUUAAGAGAUUUAAUGAAGAGAUGAAUACAGUCGGAGCCUGGGAUUUUUAUACACAGAGAUGGUGCAUAAAUAAGCAAUACAAAAAAUGCGCAAAUGCUUUGCCAGAAUUUCGUUGGUCCUCUCAAAAUUGUGGGGAAACCAAGAUUGAAUUUAGAGAUGUUUCAUAUGCUUGGCCGUUGACACACCUCUCUUCAAGGCAAGGUCAUUUCCAAGGUGAUUACAGCGCUAGGACCUGCCCCUGAUAAGAACCAGGGCACCCGUUUAAACAGAAUGAUGACUGUGUGAGGCUUAAAAUAUCGCCAUCAUAGCAGGGGUGAUGCUGUCACUUCCAUGAUCCACCAGAAUGAAGAUCGCACUCAGUGCUGCAAGGGGGCUUGCCUUCCUGCACGAAGCUGAGAAGCCAGUUGUCUACAUGGAUUCAAGACAUCCAACAUAUUGCUCGACGAGGAAAACAACAUGAAUGAGAUUAAGAGAUUUAAUGAAGAGAUAUGACAGGAUUAGGCGGAGAUGAUGAAAGGCUUUGUAAAAGUCAGAUAAUUGGUUGAACUGCUUUUGGAAGAGGCAGCAGGAAGCAUAGAAGACAUGGUGCCAUGGAGAUUCAAAGUACGGAAAGAUGGAAGAGAUCUCUUUGAUUUAUAUAUGUGCUCACGAGGACAUUCCCAUUGCAUCUGAAUUGACAAGUUGAAGAAUCUGGUCUUUUUGUGCUUGCCUACAGAACUGUCAUAUCUUAUAUUUGUUGGUCAAAUAAAAACGACUGAUGGUUGAUUGUCUCAACCACGAAUGAGCAUUUCUGGAUUGUAGAACAAAGAGUGUCCCGGGCAAAAGGACCAAGUUUUGGCGGGUGGGCAUCGGGAGUCCAGUUGGUUGGCUUCAGCCUUAGAGGUGCUGUCGGCUAGCGGCGCCGCUUCUGAGUGUCUCCUCAACUCACUCCCGUGGCACCUUCGGCCAGUUCAUGUGAAGUGCCACCUGUGAAGUUGAUCGACAAGGCAGUUGAAUGAAGCCACUUAUUAGCACCUUGCUUGCUCUUCUUUCUUUUUGGAGCCAAAAGAUCCAUCGGCGCUCCAUUACCGGGCUUUGAUUUGAAGAGACUGCUGGGCAAGGCUAUCUCGGUCAUCUUCGGUUUGAUACAUAGGUCAAACCAGGACUCACACACUCUCUCGCCGAUAUUUCACUUCGAUCCCGUGAAUAUAUCGUCUUCUACGCACGGCGGCGCUGCCUUGGAUCGGCCCUCCAUCGCGCCGCUUUGUUCGUCACCACGCAUCUCAGCUCCAAUAACCAGGUCACGAUGGCUGAUGAUGAGCUCCAGGCUCCGCUGGCUCCACCAACAGCUGUCUGCGAGCACUUGCACAGGUCAGCUGAGAUGCGUCACGUCCCCUCUGGUUUAUCUAGACGGCUGCAAAAGUAUGGUCAGAAAUUAAAGAGGGGAGCCAAAUGAGAGCACGGCUUAGAAAUAGCCAGGGUAGUCCAAGGUCGAAUCCAGGAAAAUUUGACAAUGGAUUCAGUUAGUAUACAAAUAUGCACAUUGAAUUAAUAUAAUGGGCUAUUUCCCCAUGCCCGCACACACACUCGAGGGCUGGACGCGAGUACAUGAGCUAAUCAAUUCUAGGUCCGUUGUGUUGUCUUGGGGUGUGAUCAGAGUUUUGGGGGAUCAACAGAGUUUAGUAACGGAUAGCAGAGUUUUGCAAUGUCCGCACUUUCAGAAAGGGAGGGCGUGGUCCUGUUUCACCUCCACGAGGCUCCGCCAGUGCCAGUAUGUGACUCAGCAGUCUCUACAAUCGAAGGAGAUACUCUCAGAUAUAGGCAGUGCCAUCCGCACAAAGAAACAUACGCAUGAUCUAGGAAUAUCAAAUAAAUAAUGAUAAUUGCAUCCAUGUCUUGGGAUGAUUUAAACUCUAUUUCGUUGAUACUGUGUAGGUAGGUUUCUUUAGAAAGACCAAGCAUUAUACGAAUUUGCUUUCUGUCUUUCCACAAUAUAUGAUCGUAUCAGUCUUACCUUCUGAGCUACUCUUGCUAUGGCAGCCUGAUUACCAGAGACUUAGCGUCUCUUAUUUAUCACUAUGCUUUUUUUCAAAUUCCUCUCCUGUAUUGUGAUCUCAAUUGCUUUAAGCAGAGCAGUUCCCCUGACUUUACUUUUUGUGUUCUUGGGUCCCGUAUAGAACAGUUCUUGACAGCCUCCUAGCACACCUUGGGCGUGCUAUUAGAUGGGGCCUCUCCUAAUUCACAACUGCUCCUAUGCCUAUCAAGGUGAUUUCGUCUUGCUGUACAUGUAUUGCACUUCCAGGAUGCUUGAGUGCAGAAAUCAUUGUACUCCAUAUAUCUCACAAUUUGUUUGUAUCAGGUUCAUAUGAGGCAGAUGAAUUACGCCACAUGUUAGUAUGCUUAGUGAUUAUGGCUCCGUAGUUGGCUAGCCUUAUGUGUUCUCGCUUUUUGUAUUGAACUUUGUGUUGAAUGGCCGUAUUUUGUGGUCGGCUGAAUGCACCGAGCUUGAUCUUGUCUUAUAUUCUGAUGUUGAUCUUGAGAUC